UCAGAACUAGCUCAAUUGGGAAGAGCACAAGAUUUUCAAUCUUGGGGUUGAAGGUUCAAAUCCUUCGUUCUGAU
rnacentral:tRNA from 1 species